rnacentral:tRNA from 3 species
GGUUUGGUAGUUCAGUUGGUUAGAAUGCCUGCCUGUCACGCAGGAAGUCGCGGGUUCGAGUCCCGUCCAGACCG